ACUGCUCAGUAACACGUAGCUAACCUACCCUUUAAGUCGAGGAUACUCUCGGGAAACUGAGGUUAAUACUCGAUAGGAGAUGUACCCUGGAAUGAUUCAUCUCUUAAACUUGUGCUUAAGGAUGGGGCUGCGGCGGAUUAGGUUGUUGGCGGGGUAAAGGCCCACCAAGCCGAUGAUCCGUAAGGGCUCUUAGCGGAGAGGCCCUGAGAGGGAAUCUGAGACACUAUUCCCAGCCCUACGGGGUGCAGCAGUUAGGAAUCUUCUGCAAUGCGCGCAAGCGUGACAGAUUGAGUCAGAGUGCUUUUCAUAUGAAAAGCUUUUGCCAAAUGCAAAAAGUUUGGCGAAUAAGGACUGGGUAAGACGGGUGCCAGCCGCCGCGGUAAUACCCGCGGUCCAAGUCGCAGCCAUCAUUAUUGGGUCUAAAACAUCCGUAGCUUGCUUAAUAAGUUUCUUGUGAAAUUCCAUGUCUUAAAUAUGGAGCGGGCAAGAAGUACUGUUGAGCUAGAGACUGGAAGACGUAAGAAGUACGUUUGGAGUAGCGGUAAAAUGUGUUGAUCCCAGACAGACUAACAACAGCGAAGGCAUCUUACGAGGACAGUUCUGACAGUAAGGGAUGAAGGCUAGGGGCGCGAAAGGGAUUAGAUACCCCUGUAGUCCUAGCAGUAAACACUGCACACUAAACAUUAGUACCUCCUCGAGAGGUGUUAGUGCUGAAGAGAAGUCGAAGAGUGUGCUACCUGGGAAGUAUAGUCGCAAGGCUGAAACUUAAAGGAAUUGGCGGGGGAGCA
rnacentral:rRNA from 1 species